GGCCAGCCUGAGAAGCUAAAUCGCCAUCUCCCCACCUCAAGUUCUCAGACAUCCGUCAGUGACGCCCAAAGUUAACACGUGGUCUCCAACUGAGGGGCUCUGCAGGGGCAGGUUCUCCGGGCAAGCACAUUCGGUCACCUGCAGAGCUGCACGUAGACCAACCAUGGAGAGGCUGGCUACACCAUGUGGGGAGGGAUGGGGAGGGCUGGCACGAGUGACUUUUCAUAGUUGCCCUGUAGCUCUCUAACAGGCAGCCAGGGUGAAGGCAAGUGCAGAGGGAGGCUCUCCUUGUGGUGGCCGGAGACCACGCAGGACACCUGGCAAGCACGUUCACGUCAGGCACAGAAUCCGCACGUGGUCCUCCCGUCUCCACAGGUGGGCUCCCUGUACCCUUCCUGGUCUCCACCCAUCAUCCGGUUUUCUCCACAGCGCUUCCCCUUCAGUAUGUUAAGGUUGAAAAGGGGUGCGAAGUAAAGAAGUCACCACACCACGUGAUCCAGCUUGAGUCUUGCUCUGCUGCAAUUUUUAUCCUGUGUCUGGGGUGGCAAGUUGGUCCUGCCCCGCUUGCGGAGAACUUUGCAGGCACACAGCACCAGGGUCACUUGAGCCACUGGGAGCUUC
rnacentral:lncRNA from 1 species